GGGCCCGCACAAGCGGUGGAGCAUGUGGCUUAAUUCGAGGCAACGCGAAGAACCUUACCUGGUCUUGACAUGCCCGUCAUAGUUUUCCGAAAGGAAUUCGUCGGUUUCGGCCGGACGGUGCACAGGUGCUGCAUGGCUGUCGUCAGCUCGUGUCGUGAGAUGUUCGGUUAAGUCCGGCAACGAGCGCAACCCCUCGUUCCUAGUUGCCAGCGGGUAAUGCCGGGGACUCUAGGAAGACAAACCUCGUGUAGAGGUGGGAAGGUGGGACGACGUCAAGUCAGUAUGGCCCUUACGACCAGGGCUGCACACGUGCUACAUGCUCGGCACAAUGGGAUGCAAUACCGCGAGGUUGAGCCAAUCCAUAAACGAGCCC
rnacentral:rRNA from 1 species